rnacentral:rRNA from 1 species
CCCGCACAAGCGGUGGAGCAUGUGGUUUAAUUCGACGAUACGCGAAGAACCUUACCUGGCCUUGACAUAGAAAGAACUUUUCAGAGACGGAUUGGUGCUAGUUUACUAGAGCUUUCAUACAGGUGCUGCACGGCUGUCGUCAGCUCGUGUCGUGAGAUGUUGGGUUAAGUCCCGCAACGAGCGCAACCCUCGUGUUUAGUUACUAACAGUUCGGCUGAGGACUCUAAACAGACUGCCUGGGUAACCAGGAGGAAGGUGAGGACGACGUCAAGUCAUCAUGGCCCUUACGGCCAGGGCUACACACGUGCUACAAUGGGGUAUACAAAGAGCUGCAAUACGGUGACGUGGAGCAAAUCUCAUAAAAUAUCUCCCAGUUCGGAUUGAAGUCUGCAACUCGACUUCAUGAAGUUGGAAUCGCUAGUAAUCGUAGAUCAGCAAUGCUACGGUGAAUACGUUCCCGGGUCUUGUACUCACCGCCCGUCACACCAUGGGAAUUGAAUUCAUUCGAAGCGGGGAUGCUAAAAUAGCUACCUUCCACAGUGGAUUUAGUAACUAGGGUGAAGUCGUAACAAGGUA